GUGCCAGACUCCUACGGGAGGCAGCAGUGGGGGAUAUUGCACAAUGGGGGGAACCCUGAUGCAGCGACGCCGCGUGGGUGAAGGAGUGCUUCGGCAUGUAAAGCCCUAUCGGCAGGGAAGAAGCAAGACGGUACCUAACCAAGAAGCCCCAGCUAACUACGUGCCAGCAGCCGCGGGAAUACGUAGGGGGCAAGCGUUAUCCGGAUUUACUGGGUGUAAAGGGGGCGCAGACGGCAAUGCAAGCCAGGAGUGAAAGCCCGGGGCCCAACCCCGGGACUGCUCUUGGAACUGCAUGGCUGGAGUACAGGAGGGGCAGGCGGAAUUCCUAGUGUAGCGGUGAAAUGCGUAGAUAUUAGGAGGAACACCGGUGGCGAAGGCGGCCUGCUGGACUGUGACUGACGUUGAGGCCCGAAGGCGUGGGGAGCAAACAGGAUUAGAUACCCUAGUA
rnacentral:rRNA from 1 species